rnacentral:sRNA from 1 species
CUGGGGACUUCGCUGGAGAGAUAGCACCGGCCUGAGGUCAAGGAGAAAUUGAACUAAACUCUCCUUUGAAGACUGCCGGACGACCCCCGCGGGAGCCGGGGCCCAGAAACCCGCCCGGGCAGCGGUAACUGAAACGGAGCCCUCAGGCCUGAGCCGGCUGGGCUGCGCGAGCAGGAAGCGGGGUCCCUGGGCCCCUUUGUGUGAAGGGCGGGGGA